rnacentral:rRNA from 1 species
UACGGAGGAUGCAAGCGUUAUCCGGAUUUAUUGGGUUUAAAGGGUGCGCAGGUUGUUUGAUAAGUCAGUGGUGAAAGUCUGUCGCUUAACGGUAGGAUUGCCAUUGAUACUGUUGGACUUGAAUAUGGAUGAGGUAGGCGGAAUGUGUAGUGUAGCGGUGAAAUGCAUAGAUAUUACACAGAACACCGAUUGCGAAGGCAGCUUACUAAUCCAUCAUUGACGCUGAGGCACGAAAGCGUGGGGAUCAAACAGGAUUAGAUACCCUGGUAGUCCACGCCGUAAACGAUGAUCACUCGCUGUUUGCGAUAUACAGUAAGCGGCUAAGCGAAAGCGUUAAGUGAUCCACCUGGGGAGUACGAUCGCAAGGUUGAAACUCAAAGGAAUUGACGGGGGCCCGCACAAGCGGAGGAACAUGUGGUUUAAUUCGAUGAUACGCGAGGAACCUUACCUGGGCUUAAAUGGGGGACGACAGCUGCUGAAAGGUGGUUUUCUUCGGACGUUCUUCAAGGUGCUGCAUGGUU